CUCUCUCUCUCUCUCUCUCUCUCUCUCUCUUCACUUCUUCACCUCCUCCAGCCAUCUCUCUCUCUCUCUCUCUCUCUCUCUCUCUCUCUGUGGUUGUUUUGGGGUUUUCAUUGUCUCCGUUCAAGCUUCACACCAUUAAGAAUCACAUAUACAUACAUAUAUAUUAAUCAAUCUACUAUAGAGAGAGAGAGAGAGAAGCACUUCAUCGAAGCUUCGUGUUUUUCAGGGUUAGAUUGUGACCAAUGAAGCUUCGUGGACGAUCGAAGAUCAGAGAAGAAAUAUCUCUACAAUCGACGUGAGACAAAACUUGCACAAAUUCCACUGUUUCGAGCGUUUGAUCUGAGUGAAUUCUCAAAAUUUCAGUGUUAUAUAUAUAUAUAUAUAUAUGUUGUUUCGUUUGGACUCUGAAUCGGAGACUUUGAAGAGAAGAAACUCCAUGGCCUCCUCACCUGUUGUUCCAGCCAAGUCCCAACCUCUCCACAACUUCUCAUUACCUCUCUUAAAAUGGCCGAAGAACCACACAAACAAUCUCCAUCGCGGCCGCCGCCUCUCCGAAUCAUCUCCUCCUCCGCCGCCGCCGGAUUCCGCUUUCCGCCAUUCUCCGCCGUUUGAUACAGCGCCGCCUCGACAAUCUCCGCUACGGCGGCCGUCUCCAAUGCGUGACUCUGCCUCCGAGUCGGAAUCGGGGUACGUUUCUGAGAAUCGGAGAAAAUCGGCUCCUGAAAUUGUCAAGAACGGCUUCGUGGUCUCCUCUUCUGAUCACAUAAUCGAGAAAUCGGAGAAAAAAUCGGCGGUAUCGGAGGUUGAUGGAGUCAGAUCGAAGAUCUAUAUUCGGCUCAGAACGAAAAACAAGGUCGAUGAUGUUCAAGAAGAAGGGAAAACAGGUACAGAAGGAGGAGAAGUGGAAGAAUCGGUGGCAAAGACGUGGAAUUUGAGGCCUAGAAAGCCUAUUGCGAAGCUACCGAAUGCGAAUGGAGGGUCAUCGAAAGUUCCAUUGCCGGAGAACAAAGCUCAAUUGCAACCGGUGACAUCGAAUCGACCCGAAUCGAUUUGGUUGCGAAGCGGUCCUGAAGCAGAGGUAUCAGAGAAGGAGGAGAAGAAGAAGAAGCAGAAGUUCUCGAUUUCGCUUUCUCGGCAAGAAAUUGAAGAGGAUAUCUUUUCGAUGAGUGGAUCAAAACCCGCAAGGAGGCCGAAGAAGAGAGCGAAGAUUAUUCAAAAGCAAAUCGAUAAUCUGUUUCCAGGUCUGUGGUUGGCCUCGAUAACCCCUGACUGUUACAAAGUUUCUGAAGCUCCUUUAAAGGGUUAGUUGAUAGAUGUAAAAGUUUGAAGGCUUGUGAUGUGACUUCCAAAUUUUGUGACCUCAUUCAAAGGGUGCAUGUAAACGCAGCAGCAUUUACAUUUCGGGGAGCCUGGAAGAGGUUCUUACUCGAAUGGUGCAUGUACACGUGCCCGUAUUUAAAGUUUGUGUAAUCUAGGAGAGGUUUUUACUUCAAAGGUGUACACGGGUAUGUUUUGGGAAUCUAGGAGAGUAGUUUGGUAACAAUUGAAGUCGUGUGCAUAUUUAGACUUAAGAAUAGUGGAGUUUUUGAGAUUCACGACAGUCCAAGGUUUUUAAAACAAUCGUUACGAAAUGUAAUGGCAGUUACAUAACUGACUUAGAGGUCCCGAUACACUGUAGUGUUUGUCGGUAAAAAUAAAAUAACAAAAAUCAGCAACGGCUGUUACACUA